GACGAACGCUGGCGGCGUGCUUAACACAUGCAAGUCGAACGGAAAGGCCUGCUUUCCCUUGUGGAUUGCGGGUACUCGAGUGGCGAACGGGUGAGUAACACGCGAGUGAUCUGCCCCCAACUUGGGUAUAAGCCUGGGAAACUGGGUCUAAUUCCCGAUAGAACUGCAGGGUGGUGUCUGUGGUGGAAAACGAUUUUCUAGUGGUUGGGGAUGAGCUCGCGCCCUAUCAGCUUGUUGGUGGGGUAAUGGCCUACCCAGGCGACGGCGGGUAGCCGAAGUGGGAGUGGGAGCGUGGACAGCGGCAUUGAGACAGGGUCCCGGCCCAGACUCGUGCGGGAGGCAGCAGAGGGGACUAUUGCACAAAGAGCGGGAGGGUGAUGCAGCGAGGGAGCGUGGGAGAUGUCGGCCUUCGGGUUGUCAGCUACUUGGGACCGCGAGGAGGGUAAGUGGUUGGAAGGGUGGUGACGGUAGUGGUAGAAGAAGCCCCGGCUAACUACGUG
rnacentral:rRNA from 1 species